GUUUGCACUUGUCGGGGAAGGGUGAGAACCUUCGAUUAAGGUUCGACUCGAGCGAAAGCGAGAGAACGUUGCCAACGGCAACGGCCCGAAGGG
rnacentral:sRNA from 1 species